UUGGGAUAACGGGCUAUGAAAUAAAGUACUGAUGGAAAUGAGCCGACGCUGAUCAAAAGAUCAUCGCUUUUAAUCGUAAAAACGAUUGAAACAGCAAUAACAUCAAAUUGCAAUUAUGUCGAUAUUCUAAAGUGACUGCUUGUUAGAAAAGUUAAUAUUAGCAUUCCGCCAACAUUUUUGUGUCAAAUAAGUACUUAUAUAAAAAAAGAUAAGUUGUUAGAAGGAUUGCCAUUUGCUCACUGAAUUGAGCAAAAUUACUUCGGAUAUUUUUCAAAUGAGAACGUGAAUUAAAUUUAAUUCAAGAAAAAUAUAUCAAAAAGGUUUGAAAUUUGCAAAGCCCAGCAAUACAAAAUUUACGGUUUACGAAAGGUGUGGUGAUUAAUUGCGAAUGUAAAAGCUGAGGACACAAGCCAACACAUAUGGCUACUGUGUUAAUAUUGAGUACCAUUUUACUGGUAUUAAUAUCUACCCUGUUACAUAAAUAUUUCACUAGAAAUUUCAACCACUGAAAAUCAAAGAAUGUAGUUUACAUUAAACCUAUACCAGUGCUCGGGAAUAUGCUGCCCCCUUGACAAUGAAGACAACGCUAGGAGUAAUGGUUGGGUGAUUUAAGCCAUAAAAUCAAAAAGGACUACUUUGGAAUUUUCGUAUUCGAUCGACCAGUUUUGGUGAUUCAAUCUCCAAAGCUUUACUAGCUAAUACUUCAAAAAGACUUUGGAUACUUUCAAAAUAGAUCAGUGGCCCAUUACAAACACGAACCGAUUUUGUCCAAUUUUAUGUUCAUGGC
rnacentral:lncRNA from 1 species